CCGCGUGUGUGAUGAAGGUCUUCGGGUUGUAAAAUCCUUUUCAUAGGGACGAGUAAGGACGGUACCUUUGGAAUAAGCGUCGGCUAACUACGUGCCAGCAGCCGCGGUAAGACGUAGGACGCGAGCGUUAUCCGGAUUUACUGGGCGUAAAGCGUCUGUAGGCGGAGUGGAAAGUUGGGCGUGAAAGCUCCGGGCUCAACCCGGAGAGGACGUUCAAUACUACCAAACUAGAGGGCAUCAGAGGAGCGUGGAAUUUCCGGUGUAGCGGUAAAAUGCGCAGAUAUCGGAAGGAACACCAGUGGCGAAGGCGGCGCUCUGGGAUGCACCUGACGCUAAGAGACGAAAGCUAGGGGAGCGAACAGGAUUAGAGACCCUGGUAGUCCUAGCCGUAAACGAUGGAUGCUAGGUGUAUGGUCGGAAGGCCGUGUGCCGGAGCAAACGCGAUAAGCAUCCCGCCUGGGGACUACGGCCGCAAGGCUAAAACUCAACGAAUUGACGGGGCCCCGCACAAGCAGCGGAGCGUGUGGUUUAAUUCGAUGCUACACGAAGAACCUUACCUGGGUUUGACAUGUAGGUGGUAGUGAAGCGAAAGCUGAGCGACCCUUCGGGGAGCCUACACAGGUGCUGCAUGGCUGUCGUCAGCUCGUGCCGUGAGGUGUCGGGUUAAGUCCCGUAACGAGCGCAACCCUUACCCUUAGUUACAAGUGUCUAGGGGGACUGCCGGCGGUAAGCCGGAGGAAGUGGGGAUGACGUCAAGUCAGCAUGGCCCUUAUAUCCGGGGCUACACACACGCUACAAUGGUUGGUACAAAGGGCAGCGAAACCGCGAGGUGGAGCGAUCCCAACAAAGCCAAUCUUAGUUCGGAUUGC
rnacentral:rRNA from 1 species